ACUUCACACUUGCCAGCCCUCUCUCUUUAGUUUCCUAUACUGGCCCUCUACACUUUUCCAUUCCCUUCACCUUCAAAAACCUUCUUUAUCAAGGUAAACCACUAUCUUUACAUUUCUAUAUCAUCCCUUUUCACAUUCCAAUUCACACCAUUGUCACAAUUUCAAACCCUAUCUCUUUAAAUUCCAAUUCGCACCAUCUUCACAUUUCCAUACUCGCCUCUACACUUUCCCAUUCCAUCUUCUUCAAAUAAAAAAAAACCUGUCAAUAUUCAUAUUUUAGGAUCUGCCCUUCUCACAAUCCCAUCAUUGCGACCUCCACAUUCU